rnacentral:rRNA from 1 species
GACGAACGCUGGCGGCGUGCUUAACACAUGCAAGUCGAACGGAAAGGCCCUGCUUUUGUGGGGUGCUCGAGUGGCGAACGGGUGAGUAACACGUGAGUAACCUGCCCUUGACUUUGGGAUAACUUCAGGAAACUGGGGCUAAUACCGGAUAGGAGCUCCUGCUGCAUGGUGGGGGUUGGAAAGUUUCGGCGGUUGGGGAUGGACUCGCGGCUUAUCAGCUUGUUGGUGGGGUAGUGGCUUACCAAGGCUUUGACGGGUAGCCGGCUUGAGAGGGUGACCGGCCACAUUGGGACUGAGAUACGGCCCAGACUCCUACGGGAGGCAGCAGUGGGGAAUAUUGCACAAUGGGCGGAAGCCUGAUGCAGCAACGCCGCGUGCGGGAUGACGGCCUUCGGGUUGUAAACCGCUUUCGCCUGUGACGAAGCGUGAGUGACGGUAAUGGGUAAAGAAGCACCGGCUAACUACGUGC